GUUAAAACGCUCGUAGUCGGAUUUCGGGGCGGGCCGACCGGUCUGCCGAUGGGUAUGCACUGGCCGGCGCGUCCUUCCUUCCGGAGACCGCGCCUACUCUUAACUGAGCGGGUGCGGGAGACGGAUCGUUUACUUUGAAAAAAUCAGAGUGUUUCAAGCAGGCAGCUCGCUCUUGCAUGGAUUAGCAUGGGAUAAUGAAAUAGGACUUUGGUGCUAUUUUGUUGGUUUCGAACACCGAAGUAAUGAUUAACAGGGACAGUCAGGGGCACUCGUAUUCCGCCGAGAGAGGUGAAAUUCUCAGACCAGCGGAAGACGAACCACUGCGAAAGCAUUUGCCAGGGAUGUUUUCACUGAUCAAGAACGAAAGUUAGGGGAUCGAAGACGAUCAGAUACCGUCGUAGUCUUAACCAUAAACCAUGCCGACUAGGGAUUGGAGGAUGUUCCAUCUGUGACUCCUUCAGCACCUUUCGGGAAACUAAAGUCUUUGGGUUCCGGGGGGAGUAUGGUCGCAAGGCUGAAACUUAAAGGAAUUGACGGAAGGGCACCACCAGGAGUGGAGCCUGCGGCUUAACUUGACUCAACACGGGGAAACUUACCAGGUCCAGACAUUGUGAGGAUUGACAGAUUGAGAGCUCUUUCUUGAUUCGAUGGGUGGUGGUGCAUGGCCGUUCUUAGUUGGUGGAGUGAUUUGUCUGGUUAAUUCCGUUAACGA
rnacentral:rRNA from 1 species